rnacentral:rRNA from 1 species
UACGAAGGGUGCAAACGUUGCUCGGAAUUAUUGGGCGUAAAGCGCACGUAGGCGGCUUUUCAAGUCCCAUGUGAAAUCCCACGGCUUAACCGUGGAAGUGCAUGGGAAACUGGAAGCUUGAGUACUUAAGAGGAUCGCGGAAUUCCCGGUGUAGAGGUGAAAUUCGUAGAUAUCGGGAGGAACACCAGUGGCGAAGGCGGCGAUCUGGGAAGAGUACUGACGCUGAGGUGCGAAAGCGUGGGGAGCAAACAGG